GCUGAGCUCAACAGAAAUAUGCAGGGCUAGUGUACUGGUCCACAGGAAUGAAAGCUUUACACUGUAACAGGGCAAGCUGCUCUUUCCCAGCCAUAGUUUGCUUGUUAUUGGCAAAGCUUUUCUCAAUCUUAAAGCAACUAUUGUGGCAGAAUGAUCUUACAUCCUGAGUUCCGCUGCAUUUUACUUUGCAUUGAAAUGAACUUCAUGCCCCCCAUUCUACUUGAAGAUACCAACCACACUGAACAGCUCGGAGUUAACUGCGCCAACUCACUGCAGUUGGCGGUUCUUAAGAUGUUCAACUUCAAUUGUUCCCAAGUUCUAAUGCCUCCCUCAUGUAUCAGCACCCAUGCACCGGAAGCAUGAUUCCUCUUAGUGAUUGAAGGAAAAAGUUCUUGCAGCAGUCCAGAAAUUAACAAGCAUCAAGCAUCACAGCUAGGUCCUUGAGGGAGAACCUGCUUCUCAGGACUUCCCAGGUCUCUCGGGGACUGAAACCACACGUCUCUACAGUUCUUGCAGAGAAACUCUGUCAUUACUUCGAUGCUAUGGCUGUAAUCUUUAAUGUCUGCUGGCAGUUUGUACCUUCCUUAUGUCACAGGAAGAAGAUGACAGGGUUUCUCUGUAUAGCCCUGGCUGUCCU